UAAACUAAAACAAAUAAAAACGUUUGAUUUGUCAUUAUUUCUGCUUUAUUCUGUUCUUAUUCUACUGGUUCUGAUCCGCUUUAGAUCCUAUUGGUCUGAAUGUAGAACCUGAACUAACCUGAUUUUUAUCGGCUUUUAUUGUUCAAAUGUUCCGUGUCAUUUUUUUCCCGUGGGCCGGAUCGGACCCUUUGGUGGGCCAGUUUUGGCCCACGGACCACAUGUUUG